UACGAAGGUGGCAAGCGUUGUUCGGAUUUACUGGGCGUACAGGGAGCGUAGGCGGUUGGAUAAGCCCUCCGUGAAAUCUCCAGGCUUAACCUGGAAAGUGCAGAGGGGACUGUUCAGCUAGAGGAUGGGAGAGGAGCGCGGAAUUCCCGGUGUAGCGGUGAAAUGCGUAGAUAUCUGGAGGAACACCGGUGGCGAAGGCGGCAUCCUGGGCCAACACUGACGCUGAGGAGCGAAAGCCAGGGGAGCAAACGGG
rnacentral:rRNA from 1 species